rnacentral:rRNA from 1 species
CUACGGGAUGCUGCAGUGGGGAAUAUUGCACAAUGGGGGAAACCCUGAUGCAGCAACGCCGCGUGGAGGAUGACGCAUUUCGGUGUGUAAACUCCUUUUAUAUCCCAAGAUAAUGGCGGUAGGAUAUGAAUAAGCACCGGCUAACUCCGUGCCAGCAGCCGCGGUAAUAAGGAGGGUGCAAGCGUUACUCGGAAUCACUGGGCGUAAAGGAUGCGUAGGCUGGAAAUCAAGUCAGGAGUGAAAUCCAACGGCUCAACCGUUGAACUGCUUCUGAAACUGGUUACCUAGAAUAUGGGAGAGGUAGAUGGAAUUAGUGGUGUAGGGGUAAAAUCCGUAGAGAUCACUAGGAAUACCGAUUGCGAAGGCGAUCUACUGGAACAUAAUUGACGCUGAGGCAUGAAAGCGUGGGGAGCAAACAGGAUUAGAUACCCCAGUAGUC